rnacentral:tRNA from 1 species
GCUAGGUAGCUCAGUCGGUAGAGCAAUGGACUGAAAAUCCAUGUGUCGCCGGUUCGAUCCCGGCCCA